rnacentral:pre_miRNA from 1 species
UAUCUACUCCCUCCGUUCGGAAUUACUUGUCUCAGAAAUGGAUGUAACUAGAACUAAAAUACGUCUAGAUACAUCCAUUUCUGCGACAAGUAAUUCUGAACGGAGGGAGUACUCU